rnacentral:rRNA from 1 species
UACGAAGGGGGCUAGCGUUGCUCGGAAUUACUGGGCGUAAAGCGCACGUAGGCGGCUUUCUAAGUCGGGGGUGAAAUCCUGGAGCUCAACUCCAGAACUGCCUUCGAUACUGGAAAGCUCGAGUCCGGGAGAGGUGAGUGGAAUUCCGAGUGUAGAGGUGAAAUUCGUAGAUAUUCGCAAGAACACCAGUGGCGAAGGCGGCUCACUGGCCCGAUACUGACGCUGAGGUGCGAAAGCGUGGGGAGCAAACAGG